GACGAACGCUGGCGGCGUGCUUAACACAUGCAAGUCGAACGGAAAGGCCCUGCUUUUGUGGGGUGCUCGAGUGGCGAACGGGUGAUUAACACGUGAGUAACCUGCCCUUGACUUUGGUAUAACUUCAGGAAACUGGGGCUAAUACCGGCUAGGAGCUCCUGCUGCAUGGUGGGGGUUGGAAAGUUUCGGCGGUUGGGGAUGGACUCGCGGCUUAUAAGCUUGUUGGUGGGGUAGUGGAUUACCAAGGCUUUGACGGGUAGCCGGCCUGAGAGGGUGACCGGACAAAUUGGGACUGAGAUACGGCCCAGACUCCUACGGGAGGCAGCAGUGGGGAAGAUUGCAUAAUGGGCGGAAGCCUGAUGCAGCAACGCAGCGUGCGGGAUGACGGCCUUCGGGUUGUAAACCGCUUUCGCCUGUGACGAAGCGUGAGUGACGGUAAUGGGUAAAGAAGCACCGGCUAACUACGUG
rnacentral:rRNA from 1 species